AAGUCGUAACAAGGUUUCCGUAGGUGAACCUAGAGGAAGUAAAAGUCGUAACAAGGUUUCCGUAGGUGAACCUGCGGAAGGAUCAUUAGUGAAUUGAAUAUGUUAGCGGACCUCUUCGGAGUCCCUAGCAUCAAAUCAUAUCCAUAACACCUGUGAACUGUAAGGCUGUCUUGAAAACGAAAGUGAUUAGAGCGCCUGCCCAUUUUAUACAAACAUUAAAGUAACAAACGUAGUCUUAUUAUAAUCUAAUAAAACUUUCAACAACGGAUCUCUUGGCUCUC
rnacentral:misc_RNA from 1 species